rnacentral:rRNA from 1 species
GUCCACGCCGUAAACGAUGAGUGCUAGACGUUGGCGGGCUUGCUCGUCAGUGUCGCAGCUAACGCAUUAAGCACUCCGCCUGGGGAGUACGGCCGCAAGGUUAAAACUCAAAGGAAUUGACGGGGGCCCCGCACAAGCGGUGGAGCAUGUGGUUUAAUUCGAAGCAACGCGCAGAACCUUACCAACCCUUGACAUGGGGAUUCUGGGCCCGGGAGAUCGGGUCCUUCAGUUCGGCUGGGUCCCACACAGGUGCUGCAUGGCUGUCGU